UACGGAGGGUGCAAGCGUUAUUCGGAUUUAUUGGGCGUAAAGGGCGUGUAGGUGGUCUGAUAAGUCAGGUGUGAAAGCCCCUGGCUCAACCAGGGAAGUGCACUUGAAACUAUCAGACUUGAGUACGGGAGGGGGAAGUGGAAUUCCUGGUGUAGAGGUGAAAUUCGUAGAUAUCAGGAGGAAUACCGGUGGCGAAGGCGACUUCCUGGACCGAUACUGACACUGAGACGCGAAAGCGUGGGGAGCAAACAGG
rnacentral:rRNA from 1 species